CAGGAUUCAGUGAAGUUUUCUCUCAAAAUAAAACUCCCAAGCAGGACCUAUGCUUUUGAUGGAAGUCAGGACCACGUUUACAAAGAUUGUUCCAGUACUUUGAUGUCAAGCACACUAGAUUGGAGCUUCUUCCAGACUACCCUGGUGCUCACCCAAGUCCAAUCCCAGGCUUUUCAAGUUUCUACAAGGAAAAAAGCUUUCAUUCUACAAGGCCAGCAUCCAGUUCGUAUUUGCUAUAUCAGAG
rnacentral:lncRNA from 14 species